UUUGGGCGUUUGUUAGACAUCACAGGUAUAUGCAGUACUGUCUGAAAGGACGUCGACGGAGAAGGCAAGUGACACCGCCGGCACGGCCGACCCCAGCAUGACUGACGCAGCAGCCUUGUGAAUGAGCCGGACGUUCCAUAGCAGAGCACCAGUAACACUGUUUUUGACAGUGAGACUCACCAGGACAAGUCUGCGAUAUCUACGACCUUCUGGGAACGGGUAGGGAAAAUUGCCGACAACAGAGAAGAUAGAGUAGUUUCCUACGGGCGUAGGAUUUACAAGCCAAGCAGGAGCCUUUAUGAAGCGGUACAACGUUGUUCCAGUUUCCGCACGCUCGGAGCAGAGCCCGACCUUUUUUAUCAAGAAAGAGUCGGAGGCUUCAACUUAUCACUGGUAGCUCUAUGGUUAGGUUCGGCGAUUCUGGGCAUUGCAUUUUGUGGACCAGCCAGCAUUCAGCAACCCGAAA